AGAGUUUGAUCCUGGCUCAGAAUAAACGCUGGCGGCGUGCCUAACACAUGCAAGUCGAACGCGAAAGGUUGCUUCGGUGACCGAGUAGAGUGGCGAACGGGUGAGUAACGCAUGGGUGAUCUACCCUGAAGUGGGGGAUAACCAGCCGAAAGGCUGGCUAAUACCGCAUAAGCCGUAAUUUUCGUUAAUUACGGGAAAAGCUUUGGUUGCUUCAGGAGGAGCCCGCGUCGGAUUAGCUAGUAGGUGAGGUAAUGGCUCACCUAGGCUGCGAUCUGUAGCCGGUCUGAGAGGACGUACGGCCACACUGGGACUGAGACACGGCCCAGACUCCUACGGGAGGCAGCAGUGGGGAAUUUUGGGCAAUGGGGGAAACCCUGACCCAGCAACGCCGCGUGAAGGAUGAAGAUCUUCGGGUCGUAAACUUCUGUCCGGAGGGACGAAGCAAGUGACGGUACCUCUGGAGGAAGCCCCGGCUAACUCCGUGCCAGCAGCCGCGGUAAUACGGGGGGGGCAAGCGUUGUUCGGAAUUACUGGGCGUAAAGGGCGCGUAGGCGGCUUCGGAAGUCAUGGGUGAAAGCCCCGGGCUCAACCUGGGAAUUGCCUGUGAAACCACGGAGCUG
rnacentral:rRNA from 1 species